rnacentral:tRNA from 5 species
AGGGGAGUAGCUCAGUUGGUAGAGCACCGGUCUCCAAAACCGGGUGUCGCAGGUUCAAGUCCUGUCUCCCCUGCCA